CCUACGGGAGGCUGCAGUGAGGAAUAUUGGUCAAUGGACGAGAGUCUGAACCAGCCAAGUCGCGUGAAGGAUGACUGCCCCAAGGGUUGUAAACUUCUUUUAUAUGGGAACAAAGUCAAGUAUGUAAACUGUUCCGUAUGUACCUUAUGAAAAAGGAUCGGCUAACUCCGUGCCAGCAGCCGCGGUAAUACGGAGGAUGCGAGCGUUAUCCGGAUUUAUUGGGUUUAAAGGGUGCGUAGGCGGACGCUUAAGUCAGUUGUUAAAGUUUGCGGCUCAACCGUAAAAUUGCAUUUGAUACUGGGUGUGUUGAGAGCAGCAGAGGUAGGCGGAAUUCGUGGUGUAGCGGUGAAAUGCUUAGAUAUCACGAAGAACUCCGAUUGCGAAGGCAGCUUACUGGACUGUAACUGACGCUGAUGCUCGAAAGUGUGGGUAUCAAACAGG
rnacentral:rRNA from 1 species